AAUGCAACGUCAGUAAACCGAAAGGAAAUACAUUGAACAAACGGAGACGCAGUAAGGUUGUUCAUAAGAAAAGAAUCACUUCCCUCUCGACAAGAACGAUACAUCUGUCAUUGAAAGUAAUCAAUUGAUUCUAUGAACAGAGAGCGUCACCAUGUCAGUAAAUCAAGUUUUCAUCGCCUUUUUAUUGUCCUCUAUACUGAUGUUUUCUCUUAUUCCGACUUCUGUUAAUGCGAAUGGCCUUGAGAAAUGCUUGAAGGCUUGCGACAUGGGAGAGAAAGCCAUGGAAAGAUUUUGUGGAGGUCUACCUUCACCGAAACUGAGAGCUCUGUGUUGGAGAGUGGUGUUGUUGGAACCGGUAGUUUGCAAAGGUUUUUGUUAUAAUAAUUUUCCACGACGUCAACAAAAAAAGAGUUUCAAAUCUCAUGAUUCAUUAUAAGUAAUUAACAAGUGGAAGCAAUUAUGUGAAGAAUUCUUCGAUAAUAAAACAAUUGAUUUUAUCUUUGUUCGAGACAAUUUUUUUGACCGAGUGAAUAAUGUCAUCAAUAAAUGUUAAUAUACGUAUUUUCACAGUAAAAUGACAACUUUUAUAGUAAAAAUACACAACUUUUAAACGCAAAAA